UUACGGCCACAUCACGUUGAAAACACCGGUUCCCGUACGAUCCCAAACGUUAAGCAAUGUUGUGCCUGGUCAGUACCUAGAUGGGUGACCACUUUCGAAUACCAGAUGCUGUAA